GGUACAUCCCACUAAUUAUUUUUAGAAUCGGUAGGAGAAGAAAGUAGUGCAGAAAAAAUUACAAGUUCCUUAAUUUGCAGACUUGCAUAAAAAAAAUUGGGCAGAUGUACUGAACUGAGCCUCACACUUGUUAAUUAGCAGUAUCUUUCCUACCAAAAAAGCUUGGCAAAUGUAAUUUAUCAAGAAGAUCAGCCGAAUUAUUUUGUGUAUUAUAACGCCAGUGAGAACUCUGAAAUUUCCCUACUUUCACUUUCAUUUUUAGAGGUUCCCGCAGACAGACGCAUUUUGCCGGAAAACGAAUCUGACAUGCCACCUCGAGAUUUUAACCAAGGAAAGACAAGUUGAUGUGCUUUGAUUUGAGGGGUCACUCACUUCUGAACGAAAAUUAGGGACAUCGCUAUGAGAAGAAACGUUAACAUUGUCGCCUAUGGGAAAACAAUUAGUGGACUGUACCCAUAUUGGGAAGCCUAUAAGUUCAUGGUGAUUGGUACAGGAAAACUAUGAGGUUCAUGCAGAUGGUGUUUAAAACUAUUGGCCAGCAAAUGCAAAUACAUCUUGAAACAUCAUCAGCAAAAUGUGACAGUCGGCAAAAUGUAGGUUCCCGCAGACAGACGCAUUUUGCCGGAAAACGAAUCUGACAUGCCACCUCGAGAUUUUAACCAAGGAAAGACAAGUUGAUGUGCUUUGAUUUGAGGGGUCACUCACUUCUGAACGAAAAUUAGGGACAUCGCUAUGAGAAGAAACGUUAACAUUGUCGCCUAUGGGAAAACAAUUAGUGGACUGUACCCAUAUUGGGAAGCCUAUAAGUUCAUGGUGAUUGGUACAGGAAAACCAUGAGGUUCAUGCAGAUGGUGUUUAAAACUAUUGGCCAGCAAAUGCAAAUACAUCUUGAAACAUCAUCAGCAAAAUGUGACAGUCGGCAAAAUGUAGGUUCCCGCAGACAGACGCAUUUUGCCGGAAAACGAAUCUGACAUGCCACCUCGAGAUUUUAACCAAGGAAAGACAAGUUGAUGUGCUUUGAUUUGAGGGGUCACUCACUUCUGAACGAAAAUUAGGGACAUCGCUAUGAGAAGAAACGUUAACAUUGUCGCCUAUGGGAAAACAAUUAGUGGACUGUACCCAUAUUGGGAAGCCUAUAAGUUCAUGGUGAUUGGUACAGGAAAACUAUGAGGUUCAUGCAGAUGGUGUUUAAAACUAUUGGCCAGCAAAUGCAAAUACAUCUUGAAACAUCAUCAGCAAAAUGUGACAGUCGGCAAAAUGUAGGUUCCCGCAGACAGACGCAUUUUGCCGGAAAACGAAUCUGACAUGCCACCUCGAGAUUUUAACCAAGGAAAGACAAGUUGAUGUGCUUUGAUUUGAGGGGUCACUCACUUCUGAACGAAAAUUAGGGACAUCGCUAUGAGAAGAAACGUUAACAUUGUCGCCUAUGGGAAAACAAUUAGUGGACUGUACC